rnacentral:piRNA from 1 species
GGACAGACAGGACUGUUUCACAGAG